rnacentral:rRNA from 1 species
AGAGUUUGAUCCUGGCUCAGGACGAACGCUGGCGGCACGCUUAACACAUGCAAGUCGAACGUGAAGCUCGGAGCUUGCUCCGGGUGGAAAGUGGCGAACGGGUGAGUAACACGUGAGGAACCUGCCCCGAAGACUGGGAUAACGCCGGGAAACCGACGCCAAUACUGGAUGCCUUCUCCGGAUCGCAUGAUCUGGCGAAGAAAUGGAUUCCGCUUCGGGAUGGCCUCGCGGCCUAUCAGCUUGUUGGUGGGGUAACGGCCUACCAAGGCAACGACGGGUAGCUGGUCUGAGAGGAUGUCCAGCCACACUGGGACUGAGACACGGCCCAGACUCCUACGGGAGGCAGCAGUGGGGAAUCUUGCGCAAUGGGCGAAAGCCUGACGCAGCGAUGCCGCGUGCGGGAUGAAGGCCUUCGGGUUGUAAACCGCUUUCAGCAGGGACGAAAUUGACGGUACCUGCAGAAGAAGCCCCGGCCAACUACGUGCCAGCAGCCGCGGUA